AUGGCUCAGGAUGAACGCUGGCGGCGUGCUUAACACAUGCAAGUCGAACGGAGUUUUAACGGAAGUUUCGGAUGGAAGUUUAGAACUAGUGGCGGACGGGUGAGUAACGCGUGGGUAACCUGCCUCAUACAGGGGGAUAACAGUUAGAAAUGACUGCUAACACCGCAUAAUAUAGCGAAACCGCAUGAUUUUGCUAUCAAAUAUUUAUAGGGUAUGAGAUGGGCCCGCGUCUGAUUAGCUAGUUGGUGGGGUAAAAGCCUACCAAGGCGACGAUCAGUAGCCGGCUUGAGAGAGUGACCGGCCACAUUGGGACUGAGACACGGCCCAAACUCCUACGGGAGGCAGCAGUGGGGAAUAUUGGACAAUGGGGGAAACCCUGAUCCAGCCGACGCCGCGUGAGUGAAGAAGUAUUUCGGUAUGUAAAGCUCUAUCAGCAGGGAAGAUAAUGACAGUACCUGACUAAGAAGCCCCGGCUAACUACGUGCCAGCCGCCGC
rnacentral:rRNA from 1 species